GAUGAACGCUGGCGGCGUGCCUAAUACAUGCAAGUCGAGCGAACGGACGAGAAGCUUGCUUCUCUGAUGUUAGCGGCGGACGGGUGAGUAACACGUGGAUAACCUACCUAUAAGACUGGGAUAACUUCGGGAAACCGGAGCUAAUACCGGAUAAUAUUUUGAACCGCAUGGUUCAAAAGUGAAAGACGGUCUUGCUGCCACUUAUAGAUGGAUCCGCGCUGCAUUAGCUAGUUGGUAAGGUAACGGCUUACCAAGGCAACGAUGCAUAGCCGACCUGAGAGGGUGAUCGGCCACACUGGAACUGAGACACGGUCCAGACUCCUACGGGAGGCAGCAGUAGGGAAUCUUCCGCAAUGGGCGAAAGCCUGACGGAGCAACGCCGCGUGAGUGAUGAAGGUCUUCGGAUCGUAAAACUCUGUUAUUAGGGAAGAACAUAUGUGUAAGUAACUGUGCACAUCUUGACGGUACCUAAUCAGAAAGCCACGGCUAACUACGUGCCAGCAGCCGCGGUAAUACGUAGGUGGCAAGCGUUAUCCGGAAUUAUUGGGCGUAAAGCGCGCGUAGGCGGUUUUUUAAGUCUGAUGUGAAAGCCCACGGCUCAACCGUGGAGGGUCACUGGAAACUGGAAAACUUGAGUGCAGAAGAGGAAAGUGGAAUUCCAUGUGUAGCGGUGAAAUGCGCAGAGAUAUGGAGGAACACCAGUGGCGAAGGCGACUUUCUGGUCUGUAACUGACGCUGAUGUGCGAAAGCGUGGGGAUCAAACAGGAUUAGAUACCCUGGUAGUCCACGCCGUAAACGAUGAGUGCUAAGUGUUAGGGGGUUUCCGCCCCUUAGUGCUGCAGCUAACGCAUUAAGCACUCCGCCUGGGGAGUACGACCGCAAGGUUGAAACUCAAAGGAAUUGACGGGGACCCGCACAAGCGGUGGAGCAUGUGGUUUAAUUCGAAGCAACGCGAAGAACCUUACCAAAUCUUGACAUCCUUUGACAACUCUAGAGAUAGAGCCUUCCCCUUCGGGGGACAAAGUGACAGGUGGUGCAUGGUUGUCGUCAGCUCGUGUCGUGAGAUGUUGGGUUAAGCCCCGCAACGAGCGCAACCCUUAAGCUUAGUUGCCAUCAUUAAGUUGGGCACUCUAAGUUGACUGCCGGUGACAAACCGGAGGAAGGUGGGGAUGACGUCAAAUCAUCAUGCCCCUUAUGAUUUGGGCUACACACGUGCUACAAUGGACAAUACAAAGGGCAGCGAAACCGCGAGGUCAAGCAAAUCCCAUAAAGUUGUUCUCAGUUCGGAUUGUAGUCUGCAACUCGACUACAUGAAGCUGGAAUCGCUAGUAAUCGUAGAUCAGCAUGCUACGGUGAAUACGUUCCCGGGUCU
rnacentral:rRNA from 1 species